UUUGUACUCCCUCCGUCCCAAAAUUCUUGACUUAAACCUGUCUAAAUACGGAUGUAUCUAGUUACAUUUUAGUGUUACAUACAUCCAUAUCUAAACAAAUGUAAGACAAGAAUUUGGGACAGAGGGAAUACCAC
rfam:Triticum aestivum genome assembly, contig: Triticum_aestivum_CS42_TGACv1_scaffold_514974_6BS